GACGAACGCUGGCGGCGUGCUUAACACAUGCAAGUCGAACGGAAAGGCCCCUUUGGGGGUCCUCGAGUGGCGCACGGGUGAGUAACACGUGAGUAACCUGCCCUUGACUUCGGGAUAACUUCAGGAAACUGGGGCUAAUACCGGAUAGGAAUCCUUGCUGCAUGGUGGGGGUUGGAAAGCUUCGGCGGUUUUGGAUGGACUCGCGGCUUAUCAGCUUGUUGGUGGGGUAGUGGCUUACCAAGGCUUUGACGGGUAGCCGGCCUGAGAGGGCGACCGGCCACAUUGGGACUGAGACACGGCCCAGACUCCUACGGGAGGCAGCAGUGGGGAAUAUUGCACAAUGGGCGGAAGCCUGAUGCAGCAACGCCGCGUGCGGGAUGACGGCCUUCGGGUUGUAAACCGCUUUCAGCAGGGGCGAAGCUUGUGGUGACGGUACCUGCAGAAGAAGCACCGGCUAACUACGUG
rnacentral:rRNA from 1 species